rnacentral:rRNA from 1 species
CCCUUAGACGUUCUGGGCCGCACGCGCGCUACACUGACGAAGGCAACGAGCUUUCCUUUACCGAAAGGUACGGGUAAUCUUUUGAAACUUCGUCGUGCUGGGGAUAGAUCCUUGCAAUUUUUGAUCUUAAACGAGGAAUGCCUAGUAAGCGCAAGUCAUCAACUUGCGUUGAUUACGUCCCUGCCCUUUGUACACACCGCCCGUCGCUACUACCGAUUGAAUGGCUGGGUGAAGAAGACGGACACGGCCGCCCUAAAAAGCGGGCGUUGGAAGUCUUCUCAACCUAGGUCAUUUAGAGGAAGUAAAAGUCGUAACA